rnacentral:rRNA from 1 species
CGUAGGUGGCAAGCGUUGUCCGGAUUUAUUGGGCGUAAAGCGAGCGCAGGCGGUCUUUUAAGUCUGAUGUGAAAGCCCACGGCUUAACCGUGGAGGGUCAUUGGAAACUGGGAGACUUGAGUGCAGAAGAGGAAGUGGAACUCCAUGUGUAGCGGUGGAAUGCGUAGAUAUAUGGAAGAACACCAGUGGCGAAGGCGGCUUUCUGGUCUGUAACUGACGCUGAGGCUCGAAAGCGUGGGGGAGCAAACAGGAUU